rnacentral:rRNA from 1 species
CGCGCUGAACUUAAGCAUAUCAAUAAGCGGAGGAAAAGAAACUAACAAGGAUUCCCCUAGUAACUGCGAGUGAAGCGGGAAAAGCUCAAAUUUAAAAUCUGGCGGUCCUCUGGCUGUCCGAGUUGUAAUCUGGAGAAGCGUUUUCCGCGUCGGACCGUGUACAAGUCUUCUGGAAUGGAGCGUCAUAGAGGGUGAGAAUCCCGUCUUUGACACGGACUGCCAGUGCAUUGUGAUGCGCUCUCGAAGAGUCGAGUUGUUUGGGAAUGCAGCUCAAAAUGGGUGGUAAAUUCCAUCUAAAGCUAAAUAUUGGGGAGAGACCGAUAGCGAACAAGUACCGUGAGGGAAAGAUGAAAAGAACUUUGGAAAGAGAGUUAAACAGUACGUGAAAUUGCUGAAAGGGAAACGCUUGAAGUCAGUCGCGUCGCUCAGGACUCAGCCUUGCUUUUGCUUGGUGUACUUCCUGUUCGAUGGGUCAGCAUCAAUUUCGAUCGGUGGAUAAAGGCUUAGAGAAUGUGGCAUCUUCGGGUGUGUUAUAGCUCUUGGUCGCAUACAUCGGUUGGGAUUGAGGAACUCAGCACGCCGCAAGGCCGGGUACUUGUACCACGUUCGUGCUUAGGAUGCUGGCAUAAUGGCUUUAAUCGACCCGUCUUGAAACACGG